CCUACGGGUGGCUGCAGUCGAGAAUCUUCGGCAAUGGACGAAAGUCUGACCGAGCGACGCCGCGUGCGGGACGAAGGCCCUUGGGUUGUAAACCGCUGUCGUAGAGGAGCAAGUGUAUAGGGGUUCUCCCCUAUGCUUGAGCGAUUCUAGGAGGAAGGGGAGGCUAAGCUCGUGCCAGCAGCCGCGGUAAGACGAGCUCCCCGAACGUUAUUCGGUAUCACUGGGCUUAAAGAGUUCGUAGGCGGCUCGACAGGUGAGGUGUGAAAGCCCACGGC
rnacentral:rRNA from 1 species